CAGCUUAACUGUAAAAUUGCCGUUGGAACUGUUAGUCUUGAGUGUAAAUGAGGUAGGCGGAAUGUGUUGUGUAGCGGUGAAAUGCUUAGAUAUAACACAGAACACCAAUUGCGAAGGCAGCUUACUGGGAUACAACUGACGCUGAGGCACGAAAGCGUGGGGAUCAAACAGGAUUAGAUACCCUGGUAGUCCACGCAGUAAACGAUGAAUACUAGCUGUAUGCGAUAUACUGUAUGUGGCAAAGCGAAAGCGUUAAGUAUUCCACCUGGGGAGUACGUUCGCAAGAAUGAAACUCAAAGGAAUUGACGGGGGCCCGCACAAGCGGAGGAACAUGUGGUUUAAUUCGAUGAUACGCGAGGAACCUUACCCGGGCUUGAAAUGCAGAAGACCGACGAAGAAAUUCGUUUUCCAGCAAUGGCUUCUGUGUAGGUGCUGCAUGGUUGUCGUCAGCUCGUGCCGUGAGGUGUCGGCUUAAGUGCCAUAACGAGCGCAACCCUUAUCAUUAGUUACUAACAGGUCAUGCUGAGGACUCUAAUGAGACUGCCACCGUAAGGUGUGAGGAAGGUGGGGAUGACGUCAAAUCAGCACGGCCCUUACGUCCGGGGCGACACACGUGUUACAAUGGGGGGUACAGAGGGUCGCUACCUGGUGACAGGAUGCUAAUCUCAUAAAGCCUCUCUCAGUUCGGAUCGGAGUCUGCAACUCGACUCCGUGAAGCUGGAUUCGCUAGUAAUCGCGCAUCAGCCAUGGCGCGGUGAAUACGUU
rnacentral:rRNA from 1 species